rnacentral:rRNA from 1 species
UGCUUAACACAUGCAAGUCUACGAGAAAAAGGUAGCAAUAUCUUGAGUAAAGUGGCGCAAGGGUGAGUAAUAUAUAAGUAAUCUGCCCAUGGGUUUAGAAUAACUCGUCGAAAGGCGGGCUAAUACUAAAUGAUGCAGCGGCACCGCAUGGUGAUGUUGUUAAAGCCUAUAUGGCGCCUAUGGAUGAGCUUGUAUCAGAUUAGCUAGUUGGUAAGGUAACGGCUUACCAAGGCUACGAUCUGUAGCUGGUCUGAGAGGAUGAUCAGCCACACUGGAACUGAGACACGGUCCAGACUCCUACGGGAGGCAGCAGUGAGGAAUAUUGGGCAAUGCCCGUAAGGGUGACCCAGCAACGCCGCGUGGAGGAUGAAAGCCGUAAGGUUGUAAACUCC